GACGAACGCUGGCGGCGUGCCUAAUACAUGCAAGUAGAACGCUGAAGAGAGGAGCCUGCUCUUCUUGGAUGAGUUGCGAAUGGGUGAGUAACGCGUAGGUAACCUGCCUUGUAGCGGGGGAUAACUAUUGGAAACGAUAGCUAAUACCGCAUAACAAUGGAUGACACAUGUCAUUUAUUUGAAAGGGGCAAUUGCUCCACUACAAGAUGGACCUGCGUUGUAUUAGCUAGUAGGUGAGGUAAUGGCUCACCUAGGCGACGAUACAUAGCCGACCUGAGAGGGUGAUCGGCCACACUGGGACUGAGACACGGCCCAGACUCCUACGGGAGGCAGCAGUAGGGAAUCUUCGGCAAUGGGGGCAACCCUGACCGAGCAACGCCGCGUGAGUGAAGAAGGUUUUCGGAUCGUAAAGCUCUGUUGUAAGUCAAGAACGGGUGUGAGAGUGGAAAGUUCACACUGUGACGGUAGCUUACCAGAAAGGGACGGCUAACUACGUGCCAGCAGCCGCGGUAAUACGUAGGUCCCGAGCGUUGUCCGGAUUUAUUGGGCGUAAAGCGAGCGCAGGCGGUUUGAUAAGUCUGAAGUUAAAGGCUGUGGCUCAACCAUAGUUCGCUUUGGAAACUGUCAAACUUGAGUGCAGAAGGGGAGAGUGGAAUUCCAUGUGUAGCGGUGAAAUGCGUAGAUAUAUGGAGGAACACCGGUGGCGAAAGCGGCUCUCUGGUCUGUAACUGACGCUGAGGCUCGAAAGCGUGGGGAGCGAACAGGAUUAGAUACCCUGGUAGUCCACGCCGUAAACGAUGAGUGCUAGGUGUUGGAUCCUUUCCGGGAUUCAGUGCCGCAGCUAACGCAUUAAGCACUCCGCCUGGGGAGUACGACCGCAAGGUUGAAACUCAAAGGAAUUGACGGGGGCCCGCACAAGCGGUGGAGCAUGUGGUUUAAUUCGAAGCAACGCGAAGAACCUUACCAGGUCUUGACAUCCCGAUGCUAUUUCUAGAGAUAGAAAGUUACUUCGGUACAUCGGUGACAGGUGGUGCAUGGUUGUCGUCAGCUCGUGUCGUGAGAUGUUGGGUUAAGUCCCGCAACGAGCGCAACCCCUAUUGUUAGUUGCCAUCAUUCAGUUGGGCACUCUAGCGAGACUGCCGGUAAUAAACCGGAGGAAGGUGGGGAUGACGUCAAAUCAUCAUGCCCCUUAUGACCUGGGCUACACACGUGCUACAAUGGUUGGUACAACGAGUUGCGAGUCGGUGACGGCGAGCUAAUCUCUUAAAGCCAAUCUCAGUUCGGAUUGUAGGCUGCAACUCGCCUACAUGAAGUCGGAAUCGCUAGUAAUCGCGGAUCAGCACGCCGCGGUGAAUACGUUCCCGGGCCU
rnacentral:rRNA from 1 species